GGCUGUUCUGCUUUUGCGGAAGUGAGCAGAGCUGAGGUUUUAGUUGCAUUGAUUUCGGGUCGAGAGGAAAGAAAUUUCUUAAGGCAUUUGGAUUGUGGUUUGAACGUGUCGAGGAUAUGGACGACGAAGCUUCAGAAGAGUUAUAUUCGUUUUCUGUUUAUUCGACAUUAUUUUGUAUGAUCUUAGUUUUUAUUUAUUUUUUCCCUCGCCUUUAUUUCUAGCGCAUUUUGCAAGAGGGAUAAGAGUUUUGAUGUGUGAAGUUUUUAUAUUGAUAUGAUGUGUAUAUAUAUGUAUGUAUAUGAAUUAUUUGUAAGUAUUGUAACGUAUGGAUGUAUGUUUCGAAUAUUCGGGAAAAUUUUAAACAGGCUCAUAUAGUACUAAA